UCGGAUGUGGUGUACGGUACACUGCCUCCUCUCCUGGGUCCGCUCUAUGUCUCCCGUCACGCGAGGCAGCCCGGGGUUCGACUCCCCGCGUCCGAA